CAUGGGAAACACUCCACUAUCUACCACAGAGGCAGCUCCUCUAUACUUUAUUUUAUUGGAGCAGAGAUUAGUGUUUUUUUCCCCCUGGAGUUGCUUCCUUUAAUGAAAACAAAGUCCAUUUGUCUCUGUGUCUGAUGUUAAUACACUUCAUCCUGCCCCACAAAGCUUCUAAUUUCACGUCCUGCUUCUCUGUCUGCCCUGACUUACACGCUGGCUGGGUGCUUGGGUUCCUCAGCUGUUGUGAGGUGCAUGAGAUGAAGUGCACAAGUCCAAGCCUCACCUUUCAUAGGCACCAGGACACCUUUAACCUUUGUCUGUUCCCUGGUCUAGGACACUCAAGGCCUGUCUCCCCAUGUUGUGCCUGGCAUUCUUCUCCAUUCAGCUUGGCACAUUUCUUAACUUCUCUCUGGAUCUUGUGUGAGGUGCAGAGUUUAUGAAGCACAUUUUAGGGCUGGGAAUAUGCACAGACUGCACCCUUCUCCUCAGGGAGAGGGGCAGGUUUAUAGUCAUAAUAAUACAAUGUUUACCAAAAUUGUUCCACUCCAUUUCUCUCCUGACUUCUUAUUCAUUUUGUAGGCCUGGUUUGCAGUAAUUAGGUAAAGUUUGGGGCACAUGUUACAAGUGUGCCUGGCUGUGGUGCUCAUCUCCAUCCCUCUGGCCCCUGAGCCAGCAGCGGGUAAGGACCCUUCAGCCCCAGGGCAUGGCCACUACAGUAUCUGGGUCACCACAGCUGCCUUGCCCAGGUUCCCUUUUACAGACCAACCCAAAAGGCAGGAUGAACAGCUGGGUGGGUCGUCACUAUAACCCAGACCGGUGUGUUCAUAGCUAGCCGUCAACCUCUCCACCAAGGGAGCACACUGGUUGCUGUGUGUGUCUACUCUUUCAAAGCAAACACUGCCUGGGUCACUGUAACAGCAGCCUGCCCCUGUCCCUGCAGAGGAAGGUGUUCCGUCAGUGUAACAGGAGAAAGCUGAAAGUAAAUAUCAACCGCACGUGCAAGACAUGCCAGGCUCUGAUGUCCAGUGUGGAGGAGAUCGGAAUUCCUAUCAUGAGGGAGACACACAGCCGCACCACACCCUCACCGGACGCCAGCAAGCUAUUGCCAUCCUGUAGUCGCCACACCUCCAGGCUGGUCGUGGCUUGGGGGGGAACCGUACAUUUUCUCCUCAGUUCUGUGUCUUAAUUUUAGGGAGCCACCAUCAAGCAGGACGACCACUCCGGAGCCAUCAUCAUCACCCGCAUCAUGCAUGGCUGACUGCUCCGGCCUCAUCCAUGCUGCCGACGAGGUGCAGGGGUCAACACCUUCAAUGUGGAGGGCAAGACACUGCCGGAUGUCCACAAGAUGCUGGUGCAGGCGGAGGGCACCAUGACCUUCAGGCUGCUCCCGGCCAGCAGCUCGGUGCACCUCAGGGAGAGCAAGGUGAGGGUGCACGCCUACUUCCACUAUGACCCCAAGGAGGACAACAAGCACAUUCCCUGCAAGGAAGCCGGGCUGCCCUUCAACAAGCUGGACAUCCUGCACAUUGUGACCCAGGAUGACCCCUACUGGUAAGCCCUGGUGACCUCAUAAUGAAGCUUUGUGGCUCUCAGGUGAUCCAGUGUCCCGCUUGGCCUGCCCCACUCAUGGGGAGCUAUGCGGCUCAGGCCAACUGAGUGCUGGUGUGUGACAUUGCCCCUGCAGCACCCUGCUAGACCAGAGGACUUGACCGCUGCAGUGGUGCAUUCCGUCCACUGGUGAGUCACACAGCUCCCCGUGGGUGUGGGGGUGAAACACACUGACACUGGAUCAGCUGGGCGCACCAAACACAGCGUUCCACACAGCAGCCCCAUCACAGUGUUCCCUCAGCAGCUCUUAUAGGCGACCCUUUACUGAAAACAACAAUCACAGUCAAAGGAAACAUUUGUAGAUGGUGCUGCAAAGGUGUCACUGGCCACUCACAUAACUACAUCGUCUGCCUUAUGUACAAACACUGCCCCCGGUCUGCACAACAACAGGCCAGCCCGA